ACGGCGACGCGAAGAUGGCCGAACGACUCAUUGAAUCAGGGCCAAGACCUACAUGGCUGGCAAAGUCCCUUCCGGACCAAGGCAGUCUUGAGAGGCACUUUGUUUCACAGAAAUCCCCUGCACGCACAUCUUUCUGUGUCUGCGUUUUUGAGGAUAAUGGGAUCAUCUUUGAGUCCAGGGUCCACUUUGCUUUGUAGACAUUCGUGCACCCCGUUUUUUUGCAGUACGUUGUAUUUUUUUUGGAGAAGACUGUGAUCAUCUUUGAAUCUUUUCACCUGGAAAUAAUUUAUUUAGGAUCUGGUGUUUUCCGAUUCGACAAUUUUGGCGCAGUCGGCAAGAAUGAUGAUGAAAAAGAGUUUGAAAAUACUUAAAACAGCGAAGGAACUUUGAGUGGGCACUUAAUAGGAGGCAAGAACAUCCUCCGUCCCUGAAUUGUCGGAUAAAUCGUCUGAUUCUGCCUUCUUAUUCCAUCUGAAGGAAGUUUUAAGAGGUUCUUUCAAAGACCCUGACCCGAAGUUGCACACUGACUUCGGUUCUUUACAGGAAUGGGACCCACUUGAGUGCUCGGUGCUGUGAGGAUUCCAAUCAAGAAUGGCCAACUAGUACGAGAACAUAUGAAAGUCAUACAACUACAGUCAGAAGUUGAUGUAUUAAAAUGUAGUGGUCACACCAAAAUCACUCACAUGAGAAGCCAUGCAAGUGCAGUCACAGACGAAACUGUGAAAAGGGCAGCAGGGGAAGGAAUAAAGAAAUAGAAAAAAACCCGAUAACUGAAACUAUAGAAACAAAGAUGAACUCCAUAUCAUGGACGAACAUACAAGGUAUUUGAAAAAUGCAAAAUCAAUGGACUGACCAAGAGAAGAUAUCCUGGUUAGAAAAUGAUGAUGGAGUAUGGAGAUUUGGCACUAGUCACAGACUAGUAGCCCCAACAGGACUGCUUCCUUAACUGGCACAGCAGAUACACUCCCUAGGACGCACUGGAGUGCGAAGGAUGAUUGACAGAUUCUCCCAGUGGUGGUGGAAUCCAAAUUUCAGGAUGCAAGCUCGACGAACAGUUGAGAGAUGCAUGGCGUGCCAGAAAGCAAACCGUGGAUCAUUUACCUCAACUAAGUACUCCUGCCCAUCUGGUCCAUUUUUACAUCUACAAAUGGACUACAUUGCUCUACCAAAGUACCAAGGAUAUUCAGAUAUCCUAGUAAUAGUGGAUAAAUCAUGGACGGUCAAUCAUGGAAAACCCUGAACAUCCUCUGCACAGCACCAUCCAGAGACAGAGAAGCAGCUUCAGCGGCAGGUUGCUGUCAAUGCAAUGCUCCUCAGACAGGAUGAGGAGAUCAUUACUCCCCAACGCCAUUCGGCUCUACAAUUCAACCACCAGGGGCAAUACAUGUUAAAGUGCCGGGGUUAGGACUGAGAUUAAGUUACCACUCAAUGCACUUUAGUAAACUAUUUAAGAACUUUUUAAAAGCUAUUUAUUAAUGCUUUUUGGGAGGGUGAUUUUAGAUGCAUAUCAUAUUUUAAAUACUAUAUGUAAUUAGUUUUGCUACAAUAAGUGUAUGGGACUCUGGAAAAAUGUUGAAUUUCCCCUUGGGGAUGAAUAAAGUAUCUAUCUAUCUAAAUGUUCAAGAUGGGUGUAAGCCAUCCCGGCAAGAAAAGCUACUGCCACACUCACAGGCAAAGCUCUGAUUAAGGACUCUAUUCCUUGAUGUGGUUUGCCAUGCCACACUGACUCUGACUAAGGAACACAUUACACUGGAAAUGUUUGUCAAGAAUCAUGUCGACUGAUGAACAUUGAUUGGUUUUUUCACUGUCCACAUCAUCCAGAGUCGUUAUGACAAGCUGAAAGAAUAAAUGGCAUCAUCAAGCAAUGACUAAGUAUCACGAAGAAAGCAUACCGUGGCCUGCAGCUCUUCCUUUUAUUUUGUGUAGCAUCAAAGCAAACCCAAACAAGAAAACAAAACUGAGUCCAUUGGAGUGGUAACAGCCUCCUACAUCACUUCUGGGAGCCCUCAAUCUCAGCGAGACUGAUAUACACAUUAUGGCAGAUAGCUUAGUUGACUAUUAGAAACGUAGAAAACUUAUAGCACAAUACAGGCCCUUUGGCCCACAAUGCUGUGCCGAACAUGCACUUAAUUUAGAAAUUACCUAGGGUUACCCAUAACCCUCUAUUUUUUAAGCUCCAUGUACCUGUCCAGGAGUCUCUUAAAAGACCCUAUCGUAUCCGUCUCCACCACCAUCACCGGCAGCUCAUUCCACACACUCACCACUCUCUAUGUAAAAAAAAACAACUCACCCCUGAUAUCUCUUCUGUACCUAUUUCCAAGCACCUUAAAACUGUGCCCUCUCAUGUUAGCCAUUUCAGCCCUGGGAAGAAGCCUCUGACUAUCCAUACGAUCAAUGCCUCUCACCAUCUUAUACACCUCUAAGAGGUCACCUCUCAUCCUUUGUCACUCCAAGGAGAAGAGGAUGAGUUCACUCAACCUAUUCUCAAAGGCAUUCUCCCCAAUCCAGGCAACAUCCUUGUAAAUGUCUGCUGCACCCUACGGUUAAUGAAGGCCAAUGUACCGUAUGCCUUCUUAACCACAGAGUCAACCUGCGCAGCAGCUUUGAGUGUCCUAUGGACUCGGACCCCAAGAUCCCUCUGAUACCCCAUACUGCCAAGAGUCUUACCAAGAAUCUUACUGUGUGAAAUUAACCCAAGCUGUUCAGUCUGCUUCUCAUAGGGUGGAGUGGCCCACUGGGAGGAGGGCACACUGAUUCUUGGCGAGUGGGUCUUAGUUAAGAAAUCACAUAAGGAACCACUGGAAGCUCAGGGGGAAGGCCCUUACCAAGUACUAUUGAUUACCGAUUUGACAGUCAAGGUAGAUGGUAAGAGUAAGUGGACACAUGCCAGCCACUACAAGCAAGCUAAAGUGACAUCAUAUUAAGAUAAGUGCUGUGAGAUGACUUCAAGCAAAUUGAUAAUUAUUGGAUAUUAUGGAUUUUAUUUUGCAGUUUGCUCUUGUUAUGCGUCCUACUUCCACUACUCAUGAUGUGCCAGUUGAAAUGACACAUAAUGUAUAUUUAUGGGUAUUGCAUGAAUAUGCAGGUGCUUUUAAUGAUUUGGAUUGUUGGCUAUGUCUAUACAUACCACACACUUGAAAGUAUUCACCAAUGCUAGGCAUUCCUGCAUAUCCAGAGGAAGUAGGUUCCCUCUUCAGAAAACAUUCAGUGAUAGUGAUGUAGAUACUUUACCUGCAGUUCAUCAUUCUGACAAGGGAUGUGAAUAUAUAAUCGCCAUAUCCCCCCACAUAUCGUCUCAAACUGAGUCAUUGAUAUGAAUAUGAUCAACAUGACUUGAGAAACGACGCAUCUGACCUUAUCCGUAUUUAGCCCCAGAUAACCAUCUCUGUUCUUUUCAAAGCUAAUCAUGUACUUAGCAUAAAAGUUGCUCUAUGCCCGAGUUCAGAAGCUGCCAUUCCAGUAGAGCACAGCUUGUGAAAUCAUACUCUAUAUUAUCAGAAAUGGUCUAAGUUCAUGGAACACCACAUUCUGUGCAGAAGUGGUGCCUAUGCAUUUUUCUCACAUAAUUGGUUAGAAUCUUGGUAUCUAGGGUAUGUUUUCCCUGCCAUGAGGUGCUCGUACACACAGACACAGACACACACACACACACACACCCACACCCACACCCACACCCACACCCACACCCACCCACCCACCCUUACCUGUACCAUCCGAGUCUAGAAAGAAAUCAGCCAUUUCAAAUGGAGAACACUUUGCAGCUAUCCUAUUUCCACCCUAUGGGGUUGCAAGAAGUACAAGAGAGAUUACAAAAGUUUCCAAAGCAUUAGAAAAGGUGAGCAAUGACAUUGCUGACACCUUAACAAUGAAAAUGGUUAGUAUGCACAAAUUGGUUCUUCAGAAGCAUGUGGCAUUAGAUCUCCUGGUAGGGAGGGAAGGGGGACAUGCGCACUUAUAAAUAAGGAAUGUUGCACCUAGGUACGUGACUACUCCAAAGGCAUAACUAAUCUGACUGACCACAUUUGUAAUGAAGUUGCUAAUCUACAUCAAACUGAUGAAUGAGAUUUCUUUAAUUGAAUUCAUUUCAGUCUUGGAUGCUGGAGUUACCAAAUAUUAAAAGUCAUAAUAGUUAUAUUAAUAUGUAUGGUCAUAAUCUACAUUUUUUGUGUUUGUUUGAAGGUGAUCAUGACAUAAUACUAUACAUGCUUUGAAGAACAUGUGUAUUUUCUUUGAUAAUAUACAACUGAAAUAGUUUUUGAUUACUCUGUAAUAUAGAUACUUUAAAGUUUUCCUGCUUCUAAAUUUUCAGACAUAGUGAUUCAAAUUGUGUUUUAGAAUCAAACGGUGGGUGGAGGCAGUUUCAUGGGAAUUGGUUGUUCUUUAUGUUUUUAAUAAGGUUUUAAUUGAAUUAAUGAGUUUUUAGCAAAACUGAAUUUGUAGUUUCACUAACAUAUGACUUCUAUUUUUCACAAUAUUUGAUGUUAGACGCCACCUCCUGGUGGCAAAAUGAUAUAACUGUUUAUCGUUUUUCAAUUUGUUCAUUGGCUAAGUGUUAAACAUGCUAUUCCUGUAUGUCUUCCAAUAGGCCCUCCCUUAUCUUAGGGAUUUGCCUUAGCUAAGUAUAGAAGUGUCUGUUUCUACAAAAAUUUCCUUUCUAGUUCUUGGUUCUUUAUUUUCUGCCCAUCUCUUAGUAGUAAAACAAUUGCCAUGUGAUCUGUGCCUGUUCCUUUGUUUUAAACUUUCAAUAAAUAAUU